CAAAUAUGAAUAGAGGACUUCUGUAGCAGAAUAAGUAUAGCCAAACUUGCAGAAAACAACAACCGGAUGUGCAUCACUAAAGAAAAGAAACAGGAUUUCUCCAAAUGUAGAAAUGCAGACAGCUCUUCACCAUCAACUGUGAUCCUUUGUAAUUUUGUGUACAUAUGAAACUAAAUGACUGCAAAGAAU